AUUGCAGAGAUUUUCUUUACGUUAAGUGUCCGGAUUCCCGGACCCACUGGCCAAUUUCCUCAGAUGGGGUCACGCACGCGCGCUCCCCGGGCCUAAGAGGGCAAAGCUUCUAAACAUUUCCCCACAAACUGGUCUUCCCUCCACCGCAGCUCCGCGGUGGACAACCGGGCGAUCCCGCCGGGCGACCUGGACGGAUGAGCGAAACCUUCUGGGAUCCCACGAGCCCACCGCAGGCCUUGCUGUGCCCCCACCAGUCGCGGGGAGCCCACAGCCACGUAGAGUGCACUCGACUAGGCACGUCGGGGACUCAAGGUGUAUUGCUAACUACGGAGCAGACUGAUAGAUACCAGCUUCUCAGAAUGGCUGUUAGGCUCAUGCAGACGGGAUUACUGAAAGGAAAAUGAUAUUCGGACCUGGAACAAAAAUGGCUAGUGGUGCACAAGAUCCAAGAUAAAUGAGAAGAAGGUCUGACUGCUUCUAGUUGCCUUCAAUGAGUUCAAGUUAUUAAGUCUAUAUAAACUAAAUCCUGGAGUACUGAGGGAGAAAAAAAGCCAAAACCCAAAACUGUGAGAUAUGAUUGCUGAGCUGCUGGUGAUAAUCUCUGAAAGAUCUUGGAGAACAAAAGAUGUUCUAGAGGACUGGAGAAGAGCAACUGUUCUAUACAUUUUUGGACAUUAACAGUGUAGGAAUGUUUUGCUUGAUUAUGCAUAUUAC